rnacentral:misc_RNA from 1 species
GAUGAAGAACGUAGCGAAAUGCGAUGAGUAACGUGAAUUGCAGAAUCCAGUGAAUCAUCGAAUCUUUGAACGCACAUUGCGCCCGCCAGCAUUCUGGCGGGCAUGCCUGUUCGAGCGUCAUUUCAACCCUCGACCUCCCUUUGGGGAAGUCGGCGUUGGGGACCGGCAGCACACCGCCGGCCCUGAAAUGGAGUGGCGGCCCGUCCGCGGCGACCUCUGCGUAGUAAACCAACUCGCACCGGAACCCCGACGUGGCCACGCCGUAAAACACCCAACUUCUGAACGUUGACCUCGAAUCAGGUAGGACUACCCGCUGAACUUAAGCAUAUCAAUAAGCGGAGGA